CAAGAAUUUUUUGUUCAAGAAAUCAAAAAAAUUAUCAUUUUUUCCCAUGAUUUUAUCUCAGAUAAGUCAACCCUAAACAAUUUAUGUUUUUCAGAUUCCUCAAUCAUGGAAUUGGAGUGGAAGAGCUCUAAAUUAACAGCAGGAGAGGAUCUAAUGGAGAAAAUGAUGAUAGCUCGUCUAUUUCGAGUUUAAGCUCCAAAGAACUUUAAUCAAUCAAGAUUUCCACGCUAGUCCAUUAAGAUUUUUUGUCAUUUUGUUCUACUGCCUUUUAUCUUUUUCGCAGGUUGUCAUCAAUAACACAUGGGGUCCAAUAGCAGACUCAGUUUUAUUCGCAUUCCCAGAGUGGAAGCCAAACGUCAUCACCUUGCUCGCAAACUGGAAUAGUUUGACAGUGCUUGUCUUCAUCUUUCCUGCAGUCUGGUUUCUAAACAAAAAAGGUUUGCGCUUUUCCUUCAUGGUUGCAAGUGGACUUAGCUGCGCAGGAGCUGCUUUGAGAUGUUUGCCAGUUCCCUCUCAUAUUUUUGUGUGGCUGUUGCAUGUGUGUGCAGUCCUUAAUGCUGUUGCUGGAAUUCUGCUCGGACCAUCGAUUGUCAUGCUCUCAUCUCUAUGGUUUCCUCCAAAUGAAAGAACCACAGCAACAGGAAUUGGAACAGCUUUCAGUUUACUGGGAAUAGCUGGUAGUUAUUCUCUAGGUCCACUCAUAGUCCACACUGAACCACCCAAUCCAGAAUUGAACAAUCUUUUGAAAUCAUUUCCGCAAGAGAAUGUUGCAGAGACUGGUUGCAUCGAUUAUUUACGCUCAGCUAUUCGACGAGAAAUAAAACAGUACAUGUUCAUUUGUAAGUUUCUGUUUUGGAUUUGAGGCACUGUUUGUUGAUUGGAACUCUUUUAUUAUUCCCUGAAAAACCAUUCAAUCCCUGUAGCAGAGCAUCAUGCAUCUCAUUAGUUUGCAAAUACAGUUUCAAAGAUUCAUUUCGAAGUAUAAUCAGGUAUGUAUUCGAAUUCCAUUCAUUCCUUUUGAUCAUUAAAUCAAGGGUAUGCCAUUGAUAACCAGCAAUCUUUUUCAGCUCUAUGAAGAAUAUCAACUUGUUUUUAUGAGACAUUUCAAAUGUUAGUUUUACAUGCAGAGGUCAUGAAUUUCCAUCCGGCAUGUCAGUUUAAUUGUUGCUUUUCUCUUUACUUUCCAGAAAUCGUAGCAUUUGGGCUUUGUGCAUAU
rnacentral:lncRNA from 1 species